ACUGUGGGAGAAAUCUUUCUAACACACAGGAGGAAAGGAGGAAAGAAACCAGCCUCUCAAAGCUGUGGGCUGUGGCAGGACCGUGAUGGUUAUCUUCCUGGGCGAUCAUCAACAUCCCCUAAAGGUGGAAUGACUGGCUCAGCUGAAUGGGCCAGGGAACAUGAAUCUGAAAUCAAAACGCUGGUUGAAGGGCACAGUCUAUGAGGAGAGGCAGCGGAUGUAUGUGGACAAUCACAUGUGCCGGGGUGUAAGUUUGGUUCAUUUGGAAGUGAGAGCAGCUGAAUCUCCUUGUUGCUCAGUGAUCAACACAUCUUCUGGGAAAACCAUCCCGUUUCAGACAACUUCCAGCCUGAGGACUCGGCAGGACUCUCUCCCUCUCACAUAAUUUCACUUCCUUAGCGUGUCACUGGACGAGCAGCGUCAGCCUCCUGUGGAGCUCAUUAGAAAUGCGGGCUCUCAGGCUCCAUUGCAGACCUGUGGCAUCAGAAUCUGCUUUUUAGUAGGAUUCCAAGCACAGUCUGACGCAGGCCUGGUUAGCAGAGGUCUCCCUGAGAGGGAUCUCAUUGUUGUGAUCUACAGGAGCCAGGAAGAGGAACCAGCCCUCGGAGGGAGCUGGUCAGCUGGGGCCGUGACAACAGGCUGCACUCAAAGGAACAGGUCCCCUUCAGCUCCAAAAGAUUGGCGUCAUCUGAGAAUGUGGACCCAGCGUGGGCAGAUUUUUCUAGUGUCUAGAAGUGACUGUGCAAACCCAAAACAAAACUAAAAAGACAUAUUUGUGGGCCACCAAGAACCUCUGGUAUGAAGUAAAUUAUACAGGCAUUGGACAGUAACAACCCAUCCAAGGGAGCUGUGGGCGGAGGUGUGGCAUCUGCUCAUUCCUGUCGUAGGGAGGUGAGCUCUACCACGGGGCAGUGGAGUGAACAAUGCCCGGAGAUUAUCCAAAACCCUUUGCUUUAAUUUUCCGCUUACCCAACAGACUUCUAAUUCAGGUUUACAACAAAGUUUAAAACCAGCAAGGGGGGGAUCUGGAUAAGGCACUAUACCUAUUUCGGUCCCCAGAAAGGGCUAUUCCUGCAUAUCAAUAAAUCAGCAUUCUGAUUUCCUACUGACCUCUUUGCUGAGUUUGUCUGCCUUGUAGAGCUUUGGGCAGCUCUGGGUAAGCUAACGAAAUAAAAUUCUGGUGCUGAAAAGCUGUUUGUGACCCUGAUCAACAGUGACCUAGGUUUGGUCACUGCUCCCUCUCCAGACACCAACCAGUGGGCCAUCUCUCUGUGAAUGUGGCAGGCACCAUUUUGCUGGGGAAGGAGGUUAAAUCUUUAGCCUUGUCAUUGACUCAGCUUUGUAAUUCAAGACUCUUUUCUCUCAUCCUUUGAUUUUCAGCCCCCAGACUUUUCUCUCCAUGUCCUUGCCCCCCGGCACUUCCAAUUGUCUAGCACCUAAGUGUAUUUGGGCAUUCCCUGUCUUCCCAAAUUAUCUUUACUCUUCUUCCUUACUUCUUCAUCCUUCUCUUGUUUUAUUCCUUUCAUUACUUUUUGUUCUUUUAUUUUGCAAACUCACCUGCUUCCUCAGUGAUCUUUUUAAGAUCCCAUAUGUUACAGAUUCAUGAGGAUGGAAACAUUCCUUUAGAGCUGGGCUGACCAAUGUGGUAGCCACUAGCUACACGUGAUUAUCGAACAUGUG
ensembl:lncRNA